AGACCCAUAGUGUAAUGGUAGCACAUCGGUUUUUGGUGCCGCUAGUCAAGGUUCGAAUCCUUGUGGGUCUG
rnacentral:tRNA from 1 species